CCUACGUGAGGCUGCAGUGAGGAAUAUUGGUCAAUGGGCGCGAGCCUGAACCAGCCAAGUAGCGUGAAGGAUGACUGCCCUACGGGUUGUAAACUUCUUUUAUAAAGGAAUAAAGUGAGGCACGUGUGCCUUUUUGUAUGUACUUUAUGAAUAAGGAUCGGCUAACUCCGUGCCAGCAGCCGCGGUAAUACGGAGGAUCCGAGCGUCAUCCGGAUUUAUUGGGUUUAAAGGGAGCGUAGAUGGGUGUUUAAGUCAGUUGUGAAAGUUUGCGGAUCAACCGUAAAAUUGCAAUUGAUACUGGCAGUCUUGAGUACAGUUGAGGUAGGCGGAAUUCGUGGUGUAGCGGUGAAAUGCUUAGAUAUCACGAAGAACUCCGAUUGCGAAGGCAGCUUACUAAACUGCCACUGACAUUGAUGCUCGAAAGUGUGGGUAUCAAACAGGAUUAGAUACCCUAGUAGUC
rnacentral:rRNA from 1 species